CAAAGAAUAGUUUAUUUAAAAUAAUAGUUUUGGAGACUAUUGAUAAAGAAUUUCUUUUUCUUUGA
rnacentral:tRNA from 1 species